rnacentral:rRNA from 1 species
UACGGGGGGGGCAAGCGUUGUUCGGAAUUACUGGGCGUAAAGGGUUUGUAGGUGGCUUGCUAAGUCAGACGUGAAAUCCCUCAGCUUAACUGGGGAACUGCGUCUGAGACUGGUGAGCUUGAGUGCAGGAGAGGAACGCGGAAUUCCAGGUGUAGCGGUGAAAUGCGUAGAUAUCUGGAGGAACACCGGUGGCGAAGGCGGCGUUCUGGACUGCUACUGACACUGAUGAACGAAAGCCAGGGGAGCAAACGGG